GUUCCCGUACGAUCACCGAAGUUAAGCAACGUCUAGCCUGGUCAAUACCUAGAUGGGUGACCGCUUGGGAAUACAAGGUGCUGUAAG
rnacentral:rRNA from 1 species